GCCUACCAAAAUCGUCGCUACGGAUAUAGCAAAACUAAUGUAGAAUAUAAUUAAUCAAUUAGGUCGACAACAUAUCCUGUUCUGUUGCGAGAAGAAAGACGAUUUGGUAGAGGUGUCAGUGGUAACACUGGUGCAAGGAG
rnacentral:ncRNA from 1 species